rnacentral:rRNA from 1 species
AAAGCUCCCUUCGGGGAGCCGUAGAGUGGUGCACGGGUGCGUAACACGUAGGUAAUCUACCCCUGGGCGGGGGACAACCACUCGAAAGGGUGGCUAAUACCGCAUAAGACCACAGCCCCCACGGGGGGCAGCGGUCAAAGGUGGCCUCUCCUUGGAAGCUACCACCUGGGGAUGAACCUGCGGCCCAUCAGCUUGUUGGUAAGGUAAUGGCUUACCAAGGCGAAGACGGGUAGCUGGUCUGAGAGGAUGAUCAGCCACACUGGCACUGGAACACGGGCCAGACUCC